rnacentral:lncRNA from 1 species
UGUGAACCAUAGGGAAGACACGACAGAUGGAGGGAGCAGUGGAAGAUGAGGUGGACCCUCAGUCCUGCGAGUAACAAGUUGGGAAAUGUCAGCUCCCGUUCGGCUCAGAAGCUUGGGAAUUUGGAUUGUGCACAUAAACACCUGCUUAUAAGAGAUCUGUGUAAUAUCUACAUUACACUUAUGUUGUCAAAGACAUAUACACACACAGACAGAAACCAAGUUGGAAAAUGACGGCUCCAGUUAAGUUCAGAAUCCUCUUUGGAGAAAACUACUCGCAGCAAUUGACUCUUCCGUCUGGAAUACAUGUGUCUGUGAAUGAACUCUCAAAUAAGAUGAUGAG